AAAAAGAAAGAAAAAGAAAUAUUUUAACACAAUGGUAACAAUUUUCUAAAAACGAAUUUUCAUAUCUAUCUAAUAUCUUUACGAUAUAUCCUAUAAGCUGGAAAUAUCUUUUAAAAAAUUAUUGUGUAAAGUUCAACGAAUAUUCUCGAACAUAUGAAAUUCGUCGCGAGUCAGGGAAGCAGAAACAUGAAAUUAUUCAAGAGCCGCCUAUCAGAAUCUCCAUCGUAACCGAGUUCCUAUAUACUCUGCAUCGUGGUGAACUAUCAAAGGACAGCUUCAACUCAAGCACCGGUUCUUGUUGAAUAUAAAUGGUGUCCAUUAAGAAUCGGUUCUCCGAUCGGGGCGAAGUAUUUGCAACAACUUGUUGCCUCGCUGUUUCGAUAUUGGAAAUAUGUUUCUGAGGCUAAAAAUAUUAUAAUACAAACGCGAGAACGCUUGUUUAUUCAAUAUGGAUAUUCAAUGGACAUGGAAUUCAAUGUGGAGAUAGGUCAGAGUCAAAAUGAAUGAUCGCGUUUCGCGAUUGUGGAAUUUGUGUAUAUGAAUCUAAAUUUU